rnacentral:rRNA from 1 species
UGAGGAAUCUUGCGCAAUGGGGGAAACCCUGACGCAGCAACGCCGCGUGAGUGAAGAAGGCUUUCGGGUCGUAAAGCUCUGUCAGGUGGGAAGAAAUGCUUAGUGUUAAUAUCAUUAAGAGUUGACGGUACCACCAAAGGAAGCACCGGCUAACUCCGUGCCAGCAGCCGCGGUAAUACGGAGGGUGCAAGCGUUGUUCGGAAUUACUGGGCGUAAAGAGCGUGUAGGCGGUUGAUUAAGUCAGUUGUGAAAGCCCUUGGCUCAACCAAGGAAGUGCAUCUGAAACUGACCGACUUGAGUACGGGAGAGGAGAGUGGAAUUCCUGGUGUAGAGGUGAAAUUCGUAGAUAUCAGGAGGAACACCGGUGGCGAAGGCGACUCUCUGGACCGAUACUGACGCUGAGACGCGAAAGCGUGGGGAGCAAACA